rnacentral:misc_RNA from 1 species
GAUGAAGAACGAAGCGAAAUGCGAUAAGUAAUGUGAAUUGCAGAAUUCAGUGAAUCAUCGAAUCUUUGAACGCACAUUGCGCCCGCUAGUAUUCUGGCGGGCAUGCCUGUCCGAGCGUCAUUUCAACCCUCAAGCCCCCGGGCUUGGUGUUGGGGAUCGGCGAGCCUCCGCGCCCGCCGUCCCCUAAAUCUAGUGGCGGUCUCGCUGUAGCUUCCUCUGCGUAGUAGCACACCUCGCACUGGGAAACAGCGCGGCCACGCCGUUAAACCCCCAACUUCUGAACGUUUGACCUCGGAUCAGGUAGGAAUACCCGCUGAACUUAAGCAUAUCAAUAAGCGGAGG